rnacentral:rRNA from 1 species
GUCCACGCCCUAAACGAUGCAUAUUUGGUGUAGGUCAUUCAGUUGAUCUGUGCCGGAGCUAACGCGUUAAAUAUGCCGCCUGGGGAGUACAGUCGCAAGGCUGAAACUCAAAGGAAUUGACGGGGGCCCGCACAAGCGGUGGAGCAUGUGGUUCAAUUCGACGCAACGCGAAGAACCUUACCUGGGCUCGAACGGCUGGUCAACGAUCGUGGAAACACGGUUACUCCGCAAGGGGGUCCAGUCGAGGUGCUGCAUGGCUGUCGU